GAUGAACGCUGGCGGCGUGCCUAAGACAUGCAAGUCGAGUGGGUUUAGACCCACGGCGAACGGGUGAGUAAUACCUAGGAACUUUCUUUAAGUGGAGCAUAACCAGCCGAAAGGUUGGAUAAUACUUCAUGUGGCAGUAAUGCUAAAGUCGCAAGACGCUUAAAGUGAGGCCUGGGCACCAUCAGCUAGUUGGUAAGGUAAUGGCUUACCAAGGCUAUGACGGUUAGGGGUCCCGAGAGGGAUAACCCCCACACUGGAACUGCGACACGGUCCAGACUCCUACGGGAGGCAGCAGUUUGGAAUUUUGGACAAUGGGCGAAAGCCUGAUCCAGCGACGCCGCGUGGACGAUGAAGGGCCUUCGGGUCGUAAAGUCCUUUUGCUCGGGAACAAUA
rnacentral:rRNA from 1 species